GCUAUUGUUAUUUUUUGCAUUUCAUAUUAUUGCUGUAUAUCUGCUAAAUUUGUCUUUGUUUAGGAAUACUUGUCUACAUCACAGGUUUACAUCUUCACGAUGCCGAGAAAAGGGAAGAGGUCGCAGGCCCAAAAAGUGCGUUGGAGAAGGCUUGAUUUGGCAGAUCCAGUCCAGAUCAGCCCACCGGACACCAGACCACAAACACCACCACAACACAGAACCUUCUGGAAGUCGGAUAAUGAACCUUCCUGCUCCAGUUCUCCAGCUAAAAAGAUGGAUGAAACACCUCCACCAGCGAGACCUUUCUGGGCAAAGGACAACCCACCCAGUCCCUCAUGUUCUCCAGCAACAAAGUCCCCAAAACACAGACACCACCACAACCAAGAAGCUUCUGGAUAAUGGAUGAGGCAGCUUCUCACUCUCCAUCUCAACAGAUUCCAAAACCACAGAGAGUGCCACGGUCAAGAAGCUACUGGAUUCCCGAUGAUGCACCCUCCUGCUCUCGUUAUCCAGCUAAAAAGAGAUAGAUGACUGCCAGGGGGAGCCAGUUCUUCCUUCCGCCAACAUUUUACAU